GAAAUUAUAAUAAUAAAAUAUUAUUAUUCACGAAGCCAGGCGAGCUAAAUUCUAUUUUUAUUAGCAGAUGAUUGUUAGUGUUUCAAUACUAAUUUAAUAUAAGAAUUUAGGGGCGAAAGGCCUUUCAAGUCUGUCAAUAUCUUGAUUAUAAGUAAAGGUAUUUAGUAUAGAAUUAACCUAAAAAUGAUAAGGUUUUUAGGGUUCAUAAUUUUAAAAUACUGAUUAACUGAAUGUGUAAAAAUUCCUGUUUAAAUUAAGUAGAACAUAGAUUGUUAAAAAUAUAUGUAUAUUACUUAUAUUUUUAAAUUAACAUAGAUUUUAAACUAAAAAUGAUUUCAUUAGUAUUUUACUUAUUUUUUUUUAAGGAACUCGGCAAAAAUUUUUCUCGACUGUUUAACAAAAACAUUGCUUUAAGUUAUUAUUUCAAGUUUGCCCUGCUCAAUGAUACUAAUUAAAUAGCCGCAGUACCCUGACUGUGCAAAGGUAGCAUAAUCAAUUGGCUUAUAAUUGAAGUCUAGUAUGAAUGGGAAUCCGGGAAUAAGCUAUCUAAAAAAAAUUCUUAGAACUUACUUAAUAAGUGAAAAUUCUUAUAUUUAGAAAAAAGACGAGAAGACCCUAGAAAUUUUUAAUAGAACUUUUGUAUAUUACAUAAAAUAUUUUGUUGGGGCGACAUGGUAACAUUUAUUAUAUAGAACUUACCAAAGAAAUUUUAAGGAAUUAUUUAAUAGAAUACAUAAAUUACUCUAGGGAUAACAGCAUAAUUUAUUAUUAAGAUUUUGACCUCGAUGUUGGACUAGGAAAUUAUUUACUUAAAAGGUAAAUAAGAAAGCUCUGUUCGAGCUAUAUUUCACCUACAUGAUCUGAGUUCAGACCGG
rnacentral:rRNA from 1 species